rnacentral:rRNA from 1 species
UACGUAGGCAGCGAGCGUUGUUCGGAGUUACUGGGCGUAAAGAGUGCGUAGGCGGUUUCGUAAGUUUGGUGUGAAAUCUCCCGGCUUAACUGGGAGGGUGCGCCGAAAACUGCGAGGCUUGAGAGUGGGAGAGGUAAGCGGAAUUCCCGGUGUAGCGGUGAAAUGCGUAGAUAUCGGGAGGAACGCCAGCGGUGUAGACGGCUUACUGGACCACGACUGACGCUGAGGCACGAAAGCGUGGGGAGCAAACAGG